UACAGAGGGUGCGAGCGUUGUCCGGAAUCACUGGGCGUAAAGCGCGUGUAGGCGGGUCGGUAAGUCCGCUCUGAAAAGCCCCGGGGGCUCAACCCCCGGGAGGCGGGUGGAUACUGUCGACCUCGAGUCCGGAAGAGGCGAGUGGAAUUCCUGGUGCAGCGGUGAAAUGCGCAGAUAUCAGGAGGAACACCAAUGGCGAAGGCAGCUCGCUGGGACGGUACUGACGCUGAGACGCGAAAGCGUGGGGAGCAAACAGG
rnacentral:rRNA from 1 species